GGAUCAGUAGGUUGGUCGUGCCACUGGUACGCACUGGUCUCACUGGUUCCUCCCUCCUGAUGAACCGUAAUGCCAUUAAUUUGGUGUUGCGGGGAAACUGGACUGUUACUUUGAAAAAUUAGAGUGUUUAAAGCAGGCUAACGCUUGAAUACACUAGCAUGGAAUAAUGAAAUAGGACGCUCGAUCCUAUUUUGUUGGUUUCUAGGGUCUUAGUAAUGAU
rnacentral:rRNA from 1 species